rnacentral:rRNA from 1 species
UACGAAGGGGGCUAGCGUUGUCCGGAAUUACUGGGCGUAAAGAGCUCGUAGGUGGUUUGUCGCGUUGUUCGUGAAAACUCACAGCUUAACUGUGGGCGUGCGGGCGAUACGGGCAGACUGGAGUACUGCAGGGGAGACUGGAAUUCCUGGUGUAGCGGUGGAAUGCGCAGAUAUCAGGAGGAACACCCGUGGCGAAAGCGGCUCUCUGGGACGGUACUGACGCUGAGACGCGAAAGCGUGGGGAGCAAACAGG